AUGCACGCUGGCGGCGUGCUUAACACCUGCACGUCGAACGAUGAAGCCCAGCUUGCUGGGUGGAUUAGUGGCGAACGGGUGAGUAACACGUGAGUAACCUGCCCUUAACUCUGGGAUAAGCCUGGGAAACUGGGUCUAAUACCGGAUAGGAGCGUCCACCGCAUGGUGGGUGUUGGAAAGAUUUAUCGGUUUUGGAUGGACUCGCGGCCUAUCAGCUUGUUGGUGAGGUAAUGGCUCACCAAGGCGACGACGGGUAGCCGGCCUGAGAGGGUGACCGGCCACACGGGGACUGAGACACGGCCCAGACUCCUACGGGAGGCAGCAGUGGGGAAUAUUGCACAAUGGGCGAAAGCCUGAUGCAGCGACGCCGCGUGAGGGAUGACGGCCUUCGGGUUGUAAACCUCUUUCAGUAGGGAAGAAGCGAAAGUGACGGUACCUGCAGAAGAAGCACCGGCUAACUACGUG
rnacentral:rRNA from 1 species